rnacentral:lncRNA from 1 species
AGUUGACUCCGGGGUUCGUAUAGGCAGGGAGCACAGGCGUAAGGCUGAGAUCGGCUUCCCUAGAGCCUUUCAAACUGGAUGGACCUGCACUUGUUGCUUAAAUGUCUUGAGGCCUGUGUUUCCACAUCUGGGAAAUGGGGAAAUUGUGGUGUUUGCUGUGAAGCUUCCUCAUUGGCUGAUGAACUCAUCUGGUGUUCCUAAGACCAACACCUUCAGUCCCAUUUCACAAAGUCCAAAUCACAAAGGAGGAAACUAUUUAUUUGAUGAAUGCUGUAUUGAAGGACCCUGAAUGCUGAGAGGAGGAAGGGGGGUAGUGACCCAGCUUUACUCUGGGAUAUGGGUUCCUCUCUAAGGAUAAGCCCGUAAUCAAAUGCUCCAUACCAUCUGUUUGAGAGUUUUUUGAGACUGGGAUCACUGUCUGGAACCACAGGCCGCCCUCUGAAGGCUGGAGAGGUGGUGACAGCUGAACAAAUGAUGGCGCUACGAGUCCAUGGGUUAGGUUACCUGGGCAUGGGAAUCCCCAUAUAGCCAAUGCCUUCUCGGGUAUUAAGUGUCAGAUAAACACAGCUCCUCAACUGC